GUCAUAGCAACAUUUUUGAAAGUUUUUCUUCAAACAAAAACAAACUUCGAAAAUGGAAGCGUUUGCAGGCAUGAAAACAUGCCGUUUCCACAGCUGCUGUUAUUUCUGAGAAAGACUGGCCAGAAAUAUGUGGGAUUAAAUUAACUAUUGCGGGGCUAGCGGCUACAUUGUAUGACCUUACACUGUUCCGGUUGUCGUGAAGAUAUCUCACAGGAGUUUGUCAUCGCGAUUGGUUUUCUGCUAUAAUAUACCUCUCACUAGAAUUUACCAGAUGCAAUAGUCGUAUCCAAGCCUCUACGGCAGCCAGACAACGCAAGGUGAAGUGACGAUUUCGAUUCUUUAUCGAUGAGAAUUCCGGAGGGAACCGUUGGGACAAUGCGGUACAAUCGGCAAAAAAAAACGACAAAGCCUGCACAAUAUAUGCCGUCUUUUUCGGGAUA